UAAAGAACGAAUACUCGAAUAGUCUAUUUGAUUUCCGAAAUUCCGAUACAAUUUCAAGUGACUUAAACUUAGUCUUAGAUCUUACUUCUUUAGAAAGCUGGAGUUUUAGCUCCGUAUUAUCGAGAAAUAAUAAAUUAGAAAAGCAAAUUGUAUAUGGUAUGCGAUAUAAUUUCAACUUCAAUAGAAUAUCUGUAUUCUAGAUUAUGAAAUAUUUUAAUCAAAGAAAUUGAAGCCAAGGAAGCAUUGGCGGGCUGUGUUCAGCAUCUAGGUACUAACUACUAAGUGAUAUCUGAAGACUGAAGGCAACAUUUCCAUAAUCUAGUAACUGACGGCUAACCACAACCUAAAUUCAAGAGCUAGGAUGGCAUUGCGGGGGUGGACAAGAGUCGUGGAAUUGGCUGGUUUAGCUCCUGCUCCUUUUGUGGGAUGAUUUUGUCUGACUUUGGAGCCAAUGUUAUUCGUGUUGACAAACCCAAAGGCCCCCAUAUUGAUCGUUCAGGACGUGGAAAACGCUCAGUGGUUUUAGACCUCAAGAAACCAGAAGGGAUAAAUAUUGUCAAGAGGAUGUGUGCCAAAGCUGAUGUUUCUUAUUGAGCCUUACAGA